AGUCAAAAAGCCCUCGUGCGUUUCUCCUCCCAGCGUCUGGGUUGAAUACUGGACAAGCAUGUGCCACAACUCGCCGACAGUCCACCCAUGGAGCAAUAUCCACUGGAUCACCUGUCACAAUGUGAUGAUGCAAGGAAAACGAAUUAAGGUGAAGAGAACAUAAAAAGAGGGCCUAACAACAUGGGAUUUGUUCGAGAAGAAUAUAUACACGUAAGAGCUUCGUUGCUUCAAAUUGGUCCUCGCGCAUUGACGCACAGUUAUUGUGGACGACUGGCAUAGAAGAAAAUCUUAAAAAGCUUACGUGGUGCACGCGAAAGUUGAUGGAAGUCACGACAUUUUGUACAUUUCUUCCAGGGAGCUGAGACGAUAGUUCUCCAUGAGGUAACCUUUCGUGGAAGUCACGGCAUUUGUACACGGCACGGUCAUCCAUCUUGAACCGAUACACGUUUACUUGACCCGCUGGUCCAUCCAAGGAAUCCAACGAACGAACCAUAUCCACGCAAUACAUUCUGAAAGCACGCACGGCCAUCGCAAAAUCAUUUGUGAAGAAUCUUAGACCAGUAACCUACUCCACAUGCUGAUGUUUGUCAGCAUCGAAACCUCUGGAGAUCAACGCAAAAUAUGUCUGUCUGGUUCCGGUUGAAAAGUAUAUAGCCGGAGUGCCGGACCAGCGGUAGACCUGUGGGAUUCGAGGUUGGAGUAUGGAACCUUGUCCAGCUCAAACAGCGACAACAACGGUUAGCGACGAGAGACGGUGAAAAUUACCGGUUACCGGAAAGUUUGACGGACUCAAGGUCUUCGUGCAGCCCCGGUCAAGCUACCACGAGAAGCAAAUGUGUGGAUGUGAGGGUGGUGUAAGAGCAACUCUAGCGGUUACCGAACAGGACGAGUUCGGUUCAACUGAAUCCCAGUUUUCAGUUCAACAAAAGUUUGCACAGAUCAGUUACCGAUUUCAAAUCCUAACUAUUUGAAAAUGUAAUUCGCGCGUUCGGUUUCGGAUUUGGUAUUGAAACAGCCCUUCCGAGCCGUAGAUAUACGAACUCGUUUCGGGGCAUUUCGGUUCCCCAAAUUCUUGUUUUCGGGCCGGACCUGUAUUCGGUAUCUAAUCGGUUCAUUUUUUGGGCUCAAAACCGAAUACCUAGUUCGGAUCGGGGGAGAUCGGUAACUGCUAGAGUGAUUUAGAUUGAGUUUUUAAACCCCUGGACCAUGAGCCAGCUAAGCAUCCAAUUCACGCUUCACAACUCGCAAACACCCGGCAAAACCAAGCAGAAACGACUAGCUUAGCUGCCGUAUUGUGCUCUCCGGCUGAGCAGAGUUUACAUUGCAGGCAUGCAGGUGACGACGGGUGCCUCAUGAGUUCUCCCAAACAAUCGGCAAAGCUCGCCAUGCUUUUACUGGUGGCUUUGCUACUCCUCUGUAAUAGUACAGUUGGCAACGUCUGCUGCUCAAGAAAUCAGGAGAACAGCGUGGAUCUGCACGCGCUACUCGACUUCCAGCGGGGCAUCACCAAAGAUCCUCAAGGAGCCUUGAGCAACUGGAGCACCACCACCCAUUUCUGUCGAUGGAAUGGUAUCGCAUGCACCACAACACGACCGUUUCGCGUUGAGCAGCUUAACCUCCCCGGCCUGAACUUACAAGGCAAAAUCACCUCCUCUCUUGGAAACCUUACCUUCCUUUAUCUGCUUGACCUCUCCUAUAAUAGCUUCGCCGGUACCUUCCCUAUCCUAAAUCAUGCCCAACAACUGCAGUACCUUUUUGUGAACAACAACAGUUUGACAGGGAUAAUUCCUGAUGCACUCUCAAACUGUUCCAGCUUACUCUCCAUGGACUUCUCCUUAAACUUGCUCGUGGGUGCGUUUCCUCCAAAAAUAGGGUUUCCUCCAAGUCUAAUAUAUAUAAAUUUUGAGUCAAAUCAACUCGAUGGAAGCAUUCCUAAUGAGAUUGGGCAAUUACAGAACCUGGAAAGCUUGGUUCUGGGAGACAAUAGGCUUUCAGGUCAAUUCCCACAUGCCAUCUUCAAUCUUUCAGCUUCUCUCCGAGUUUUAAGCUUAGAGAAGAAUAUGCUAGGCAAAACAUUGCCACCUAAUUUUGGCUAUCUUCUUCCUAAUCUAAAGAAUCUUUCCUUGUAUGGCAACAUGUUUGAAGGUCACAUCCCAGCUUCACUAGGCAAUGCUCUAGGGUUACAACUUAUAGAUCUAUCAUCUAACAAGUUCACUGGGAAAAUCCCUAAAUUGUAGUGUUAUGCAUACGUGCUGAUGCAUCAUAAUAAAUGUAGGAUGCAUCCCGGCGGACAUCUUGAAUGCUGGAACAAGAGGUUACGAUUGCAGGUUUCUUUCUCAUUACAUUUUUUUCACUUUGUGUUACUGAGCUCUAAGUCAGAAAUAAUGUUGGAAAUAAAUAGUUGCUUUCCGUUUUGCUUA